rnacentral:rRNA from 1 species
AUUGAACGCUGGCGGCAGGCCUAACACAUGCAAGUCGAGCGGUAGAGAGGUGCUUGCAUCUCUUGAGAGCGGCGGACGGGUGAGUAAUGCCUAGGAAUCUGCCUAGUGGUGGGGGAUAACGUUCGGAAACGGACGCUAAUACCGCAUACGUCCUACGGGAGAAAGCGGGGGGAUCUUCGGACCUCGCGCCAUUAGAUGAGCCUAGGUCGGAUUAGCUAGUUGGUGAGGUAAUGGCUCACCAAGGCGACGAUCCGUAACUGGUCUGAGAGGAUGAUCAGUCACACUGGAACUGAGACACGGUCCAGACUCCUACGGGAGGCAGCAGUGGGGAAUAUUGGACAAUGGGCGAAAGCCUGAUCCAGCCAUGCCGCGUGUGUGAAGAAGGUCUUCGGAUUGUAAAGCACUUUAAGUUGGGAGGAAGGGUAGUAACCUAAUACGUU